GGUUCUACUAAGCAGGUUUUAAAGAAGAAUCUGGUCCUCUGGUGUAAUAUGGAUCACACUGAGAAGCAGGUUCAGCCCAUUUGUGGGAAAUUCCAAGCCACAGUACAUCCAGGAGGCAAAUUUUUGAUUUGCGGGAUCCCGCUCAUUCGUUCAGUAAAGCUUUUCAUGUUUGGCCCUGGAGAUAUGAAGAUGAAUAUUAUGGCUUGUCUCACAGGGUUCACAGCCUAACAAGGGUGACCGAACAAAAAACCAUCAUAUUCAAGCCAUCAUCCCAUCCAAAAAUAACCUCAAAUCUGUCCAUUUGUCUCCAUCUUUACUGACCUCAUCCUCAUCAAAGUUACCAUCGUCUCUUGUUUGGACUACAGUAAUGGCCUCCAGCAGUACAGUGUAUUACUGUCCGCCAAAUAUCUCAUUUUCUUUUCCUGCAAUGCCCCUCCCCGGAAGGGUUACAUUCCCUCUCUGUUGAACUCAGGACUGACCAUAAUAAAAAUACAAGUGGAGGUGAUAGGUGACACAUCCAGGCAGAGAUUUUAAAAGCCACUGUAUGGUUUGCUGUGUUCCUUUUCCUGCUGUAGCGACCACCAGUGUUCAAGAUGAUGGCUGGUCCAUCAGCCCAGAUCCUAGAGUGAGUAGACACAGAGUGGAGCUCCUGCUGACCUGCAAUGGUUUGCAGAGCCAUAAAUUUCCUGUCUGCGUUGGGUAUUCCGAGGGAGCACGUUCCAAUCUGCGUUCUGGCCCUCUCUGUCAUCUUUCAUCAGAGCAUCAGAACCAUCAAAACACUAGUGCUGCAAUCUUAUUCUCUUGUUUUUUAAAGCACCAAAG
rnacentral:lncRNA from 1 species